GCACACCUAGGUAGCUUUUAAAAAAGAUUCAAAUAUACAAAGAAGAUUAGCAUGGCCCCUGCGCAAGGAUGACACACAAAUUCGUGAAGCGUUCCAUAUUUUU